rnacentral:rRNA from 1 species
GGAUCAUUACCGAGUUAUGGGUACAUUCAUGUACCUAACUCUCACCACUUGUCUACCUAUAAUCGUUGCUUUGACGGACCCGGUUCUCGAACCAACUCGGACCUUAAGAGUCUGGGCAGUGUCCGUCAAGGGAUUUUUAAACCAGUUUUAAACAUGAAAUCUGAGAAAACAAAAAUUAAACAAAACUUUCAACAACGGAUCUCUUGGUUCUGGCAUCGAUGAAGAACGCAGCGAAAUGCGAUAAGUAAUGUGAAUUGCAGAAUUCAGUGAAUCAUCGAAUCUUUGAACGCACAUUGCGCCCUUUGGUAUUCCGAAGGGCAUGCCUGUUCGAGCGUCAUCUAAACUCUCAAGCUUUGCUUGGUAUUGAAUCAUAUCCUGAGGGAUAGAUUCGUAACUUGUUGGCAGAAACUCUUAACUUCAAGCGUAGCAAUGUUAUCGCUUAGAUGUGAUUGAGGGACUUGCCUUGCACCCAAAAUUUUCAAGUUUGACCUCGGAUCAGGUAGGGAUACCCGCUGAACUUAAGCAUAUCAAUAAGCGGAGGAAAAGAAACCAACAGGGAUUGCCUCAGUAACGGCGAGUGAAGCGGCAACAGCUCAAAUUUGAAAUCUGGCAAAAGCCCGAAUUGUAAUUUGCAGAGGAUGUUUCGGAUUUGUACCUGGUCUAAGUUCCUUGGAACAGGACGUCGCAGAGGGUGAGAAUCCCGUUCGCGGUCGGGUUACAUAUCCAUGUGAAACUCCUUCAACGAGUCGAGUUGUUUGGGAAUGCAGCUCUAAAUGGGAGGUAUAUUUCUUCUAAAGCUAAAUAUUGGCCAGAGACCGAUAGCGCACAAGUAGAGUGAUCGAAAGAUGAAAAGCACUUUGGAAAGAGAGGUAAAAAGUACGUGAAAUUGUUGAAAGGGAAGCGUUUACGGCCAGACUUGAUCUUGGUUGCUCAACCGGUCUUUGCCCGGUGCACUCUUCCAGAUCAGGCCAGCAUCAGUUCGGGUGGUUGGAUAAAGUCUUUGGGAACGUGGCUCCUCGUGAGUGUUAUAGCCCUUUGAACAAUACAACCUAUCCGGACUGAGGACAGCGUUCG